UGCGAUGCAGCGAUUGCUCUCAAACUACAGCAAGCAAUCACAUCGUUAACAUUCUCUGUUUCGAAACCUAUCACUUUUCAGUUGCAGACAUCUGCUUUAUCAUGUAUAUACCGAACAUGAUGAAUACAACUUCUUUAUUAACUUUGCGCCUUCAUACAGGAUUCACAAGUACAUUCGUUUCGAUACACAAGGGUUACAAGUUACGAGUUUCAAGCUACAAGGGUAAAAGGCUUCCAAUGAAAAUGACUGACUACUAGCCUGUUCGUUAAAAAGAGGAAGUUUAUGAAGAAAGGAUGGUCGUUUCUAAAGCACAAGUACUGGAGGCGAUCAGAGGGGCAGAGCAUCGGAUCAUUCAGACACUGACACAGCUAGACGCCUUCAACCAUCGAUUCAAGUCAAUAUUACACGAUGGUAGUAAACAACAGAAUGCAAGACAAGGAGUUCAGGACAUGGAGACAUACGAGUUUCAUCUGAAAGAGGCUGUUACCAUUUGCGUGGAUGACGAACACAAGACUACUUAAAUGAUGUCGACCUUUUUUGUCUAAACGCCGAUAUCGACGAAGUACGCCUAAGCGUUGCUCCCGUAUCACGCCUACUUUACCCCAAAUUCGAUGACAAGGCACAUCCACCUGAACAUGACAUUGUCCCCUACCCGCAGGGUGGAAAAAUGCCCACCUACCUCUUAGCCGCACGAAAGCCAUUGUUCAAACUUUCAAAUACCGCAACCUAAGAGUCUGUGUCUGGACAUCUGAUCGGGUUCAUGUAAACUCCUCGUAAACACACUAGCGCAAGCUUGACUUGAUAUAUAUUAAGGUAAUCUACAACAGAAAGACUCUGUUCCACCCACAUUUGACAAUAUCUUCAGCAGCGCCAGCCUACUGAAAGAACCCCCGAUUUAACAAGACUUGUUCAACAAGCCUUGUUCAAAGAGGAUGAA
rnacentral:lncRNA from 1 species